rnacentral:rRNA from 1 species
AGAUUGAACGCUGGCGGCAUGCCUAACACAUGCAAGUCGAGCGGCAGCGCGGGGGCAACCCUGGCGGCGAGCGGCGGACGGGUGAGUAAGGCAUCGGAAUCUGCCCUGAUGUGGGGGAUAACGUAGGGAAACUUACGCUAAUACCGCAUACGACCGAGAGGUGAAAGCGGGGGACCGAAAGGCCUCGCGCAGCAGGAUGAGCCGAUGUCCGAUUAGCUGGUUGGUGGGGUAAAGGCCUACCAAGGCUACGACGGGUCGCUGGUCUGAGAGGACGACCAGCCACACUGGCACUGAGAUACGGGCCAGACUCCUACGGGAGGCAGC